rnacentral:rRNA from 1 species
UACGUAGGCAGCGAGCGUUGUUCGGAGUUACUGGGCGUAAAGGGUGUGUAGGCGGUUGUUUAAGUUUGGUGUGAAAUCUCCCGGCUCAACUGGGAGGGUGCGCCGAAUACUGAAUGACUAGAGUACGGGAGAGGAAAGUGGAAUUCCUGGUGUAGCGGUGAAAUGCGUAGAUAUCAGGAGGAACACCGGUGGUGUAGACGGCUUUCUGGACCGUAACUGACGCUGAAACACGAAAGCGUGGGUAGCAAACAGG